rnacentral:tRNA from 1 species
GCUCCUGUAGCUCAGUUGGAUAGAGCGCCGGCCUCCGGAGCCGGAGGUCGGGGGUUCGAGUCCCCCCAGGUGCG